GCGCCCAUCAGUCCAGGAGCCUCCCUAGCAGGGCUGCCUCGUUGGGAAAAGCCAGAACGUGCCAAACGCUUAUCAAAUCGCCAGGUGAGUUGGAAGCUGGCUUUGAGAAUAUGAAUUUGUGGACUUGGGAGGCUGGGAGAGGUUCAAGUCGUUUGGGUUCUGUGCUUGAUCCAGGGCGGGUGAGGCAGGUCGGCGGUGGCAGGAACACCAAGAAAUUCGUCAUGGGAAACAUCCAGUAGAUUCAUCAUCUGUUGGAAGGAAUGUUCGGCCAACACUAUGCGGAUUAAUUGAUCCUUGUCUUGUUGCUGCUAAGAGUUGCAUCUGAUGUGGAUGUUUUGUAUCGUUCGUAGCAAGAAUUUGGUAUAGAGAGCAUAAUAUAUCUUUCUAGACAGUAAAAAGAUCAAUUGUUCUGGAAGGUGACAUAGUUGUUUACGGGGAGAGGAAUACUAGCUAUUUUGGCCUGAGUAGUCUGAAUUUCUGCAGCUGGCAUCAAGGUUUGGAGCAAUAAUAAUAGCAUUUGGAUUGGUUGGAGAAGACGAUAUAUGUGGUGUAAGUGCAACCUCAAAAAAUAUGUUAUCUUACUAUGUUAUCCCCUUGAUUAUCUAAUGUCUAGAAACAAUAUUUUUCACCUCAAAUGUUGUUAGACUACAAUGAUCUUCUGGAGCACCCAUUUUAUGAUAUCCAUGACAACAAGCUAAAUAAAGAGGGCCUAAAGCUAAAUUAUGUUUUGAUUUCAUUUUAGAAGCAAAAUAAUAAUAGUUUGUCCAUGAUAAUCAAUGAUCUUUAUUUAUCUUAUUGUUCCUCGGGACUGAUUUUAUGGGAGAGAUAAAGAGUAAAGAUAUGCAUCCUGUAGUGCUUACGCCAAAAAUUUCAGGAAGAUUUUGCUUCAUCUUUUGGGGAGCCUAUUGAAACAAAAGGUAGCCAGCUGCGCUAGCAAAUAGUAAUCUGAAAAGUUAUCUACAUGUUCUCGUGGCAAGUCAACAUACGCUGCACUGUUAUCCUUUUUAGAUAAUCGAAAAAUGAGUCGGAAUGCAUGCAGACGUAUUCCAGAGAGCCCAUGUCUGAUUAGGUUUGCUUCUUGUGUUUUCGAUUGGUUUACUUGUUUGCAUAGGGAGGGAGAAGGAGUUAAGAGAAAGAGAAGGCCCAGCACCUCUAUUUGCAUGUCAAUUCUAAAGUGGAGAGCUGCAUCAAGUAUCUGAAGAGGAGAGAGGAGGAUCCCUACAGGAGUACAC